ensembl:miRNA Gm23992 predicted gene, 23992
AAAGGAGCUUCAGUUGAGAAAAUGCCUCCAUGAGAUCCAGCUGUAAGGCAUUUUCUCAAUUAGUGAU